CUUAAUUCCAACCUCCCACCAAACCAACUACUUUCGUUCUCUCUCUCUUCCAGUUCUCUGUAUCUCUCUCUCUCUCUCUCUCUCUUCCAUUCUCUGCUUCAAAACCCAAGGCAAGGCCACCACAAAUCUGAGACCUCCAUGAUCUGCACCUACCUCAACCUAAUUUCCAAUCUUUAACAUGUAAGCUACUAGCCUACUACUCUCUUUCUCUGUUUCGUUGUGUUCAAGAAAAUUGGGGAUUAUAGUAAAGAUUGAAGCUUUUGCUUUUCUUGAACCAAAGUGCAGAAUCUCUGCACCCAAAUAGUGAAAUAGAUGAUUUUGAUUUGAAUUGUGAUUUGUGUGCUUAGAAAAUGUUUUCAGCUCUGGGUUAUCGGCGAACUAAGAGAAUGAGAGAAGAGAAUUCGUUGAAUUGACGAAUGAGGAUAAAAAAAAAAUAUAUAUAUAUAUAUAUAUAUAUAAUCAAGCCGCCCAGCGCCCAGCCGGCUCAGCCCAGGCCGCCUAACCUCCGCCUAGCUCGCCUAGGCGGUUGCCUAGGCCUUUUUUUAGAACCCUGAUUGACCAUAGAAGUGUUCUGGGGACUUUGGAUGGUCUCAGAUGAGGAUUCGACCGUUGGAUUUUGGUAUAAUUCUGUGAUGAUGAUCCUAGAAGUGAUCUGUGGGGAUCUGACCGUUAGAUCAUCGUAUAAUUGUGUUUUGUGAUUUGUGUGAUAAGUUGAGACUGUAUGUGAUUAGGUGCUUGACGAAAUGAUAUUGGGUGAACGUUUUGUGUUUGCAUGAUCUUGGCUGUUAGAAAAUACGCAGCUGGAUUUAGAGGGAUUACUACGAUGUCUUUCAUUUGAUUUUAAUGUAAUCUCUAGAACCAAACUCUAUGCAUGGAUUACUAUGGUUGUAGAUUAUGUGUUUUUUGGUGAUCGCCUGAACUAAUUCUCUAUGCAAGGAUUUCUGGUUUUAUUUAGUUUAAUUUGUGAGUGCAGUUGUGAUUGAGAGUGAGUUGAGAAAUGUUUUAUCCAUUGUGGUGAUAAAUGCUUCUUGUCGAGAGGAAAGAAAUGUAAUUUCUAGGAUUUGUUGUUGAGAUUUCAAAUGAUUUGGUUUAUCACAAUGGUGAGAUUUGUCUUCCUUAAAAAGAAAAGGAUUUGAUUUUGAAAUAACCAUUGAGUUGAUUUGUUGUCCUUGAGUCGGAAAGGUGUUUUGUGGUUAUUUUGGUUUACUCACACGAGCUUGCAAAAGCUUACCGGGUUUGUUGUUUCAACCCGGUGCAUUAUUCCAUGGUGUAGAGGUUAUUGUGUAGGUUAGAAUAUCGAGUAACGGCCGUCGGAAUUGAGGUUUUGUUGCUCUCAUAGCUUGGAUGUAGAAUUACUUUUGGUUUUAGUCUUCCGCUGUGUAGUGAGUAUGGUGGGUGUGUUUACUCAUUGAAUUGUCAUUCAGUUUAAUUUGUAAACUCUUUUGUAAUGUAAUAUGUGACUCUAAAGAGCGAGUCGAUAUUGACAUGGUGAGCUCAGUUGGUUUUGUUGCAUAGUUUAAAUGAAUAAUUUUCUAUGUGUUUUUUUGUGCUUGUGAAGUUAUCGCGUUUCGGAUUCGAAUUUCUUUCUUCGAAAUUCGGGGCGUGAAAGAUUGUGUCUGACAAUGUUCAGAUGCACUGACAUUUUGACAUUGACUUGAUGCUUGACCAAAGUAUACAUGAGACACUAUAACCAAAAAUCAAAUAAUAUGAAUUAAUCUAUAUUUGUAAACAAACAAUAAUUUUUGCUAACAAUAUUUACAUAGAACAAUAUUUUGGAACACAUAAAAUAUACCAAUUUCUUUUGCAUCUCCAACUUGAUCACAUUUAUUUCCACCAGAAGAAGCAUGAUCAGAUUCAGUUUUUCUUUGCUGAACUCUGUCCAGUUUCAUAACUUUCAACAGCAGAUUGCUCUAACACUCUCUUCAUUCCUCUAGUCAAUUAGUCAUCAUCUUUGGUGACAUCACUGUAUUAACAUAUAUAAGCUUGUAAAAAUUUUAGAUUAACUAUACAAAAUACACUAUAUUAUUCAAACAACAUCAUACAUUUCAAUUUGAAGUGAAAAAACACUUAUUACAUUAUGAAAGAUAGAAAAAUAACUAUACCAAGCAGGGGAAGAAAAGAGAACAAAAAAAAAAAAAGCUGCAAUCGCAAAACCUUUAGCAAAUCACAAGCUACAAUCACAAUGCAAUGAUUUCAAUCCGAACUUCACAUAAAACUAAGCUUUAUUUACAUCAAAAUUAAUACUUGGAAUUAUUUAAAUAAAUUCAUUUAAUAACACUUAGCAUAACUGUUUAAAUUUUGUUGACAACAUUGAUUAAACAUUCAUACCUGAAUUCAAAACACUUCCAAAUUUUGAUUGCACACUGUUCCCAAUAUCUGCAGAACUAGGGAUGGAAAUGGGGCGGGUUGGAGAUGGGGAUCACAAUAUCUUCCCCAUCCCCGAGGUCAUUCUCCACCCCCAUUCCUGCUCCAAUCCUCAAUAAAAAUUUACUGGGGACUAAGCCUCCAAACCCGCUCCAAAUAGAUUUUAAUAAAUAAAAUAAUUUUUUUCUCACAUUGCCUUUUUAAAAAGGGAGUUUCUAUUCAUACCUCCAAAAUUAGUAUUUAGACCUCCCAACAUAAUAGACCUCCAACUUACUUUUACAAAUAACCAAUAUACUAUCUACACCUCCUUAAUUUUCCCAUAAUACCCAUCAUCCAAUGAUAUCAAUAAAAAAAAAAAAAAAAAAUUAGAGUGUUCUAUUCAUAUA